rnacentral:lncRNA from 1 species
UCACAAGCAGCUACAAUUUACAUGGACGUUGUCGCACCCUACUUCGACUUGAGUAAGCGAAGAGCCGUAGUUCUGAUGCGUCUCUUAGCGUUUGCAAGCGGCGUUAUAAUGACGCUUUUUGCAAUAGCCGUGCCAAUGCUGGGAUCGGCCACACGGCUGUUUGUCACCUUUUACUCAUCUGCUUCGGGACCAUUCGUUGGACUCAUACUCCUUGCCAUCUCGUCUCCGUGGGUCAAAG